UUAGAGAAGAUUCCAGGGAAUCUUUUAAAUUUUUUUAUAUAUUAUUUUAUGUAUUUUAUUUAUUGCAUAGAGAUAGAAACCAAAAGGGAAAGGAGAGAUAGAGAAGAUGAAAAAUAACCUGCAGCACUGCUUCUCCACUGCGUGUGAGGAUUGAACCUGGGUCCAUGUACAUUGUAACCUGUGGCUUGAACCUGGGUCAGCUCUAUAAAGUGUGCCACUCCCUGGCCCCCCAGAGAAUCUUAUAUUAAAGAUACUAUACAGUGGUGGGAUAGAUAGCAUAAUUAUUAUGCAAAAAGACUCUUAUGCCUGAGGUUUUGAAAUCCCAGGCUCAAUCCCAUUAAGCCUGAACUGAACAAUACUCUGGCUAUAAAAAGGGGGGGCAGGUGGUAACAUAGCGGGUUAAGUGCAUAUGGCACAAAGUGCAAGGACCAGCAUAAGGAUCCCUGUUCGAGCCUCCAGCUCCCACCUACAAGCAGUGAAGCAGGUCUGCAGAUAAUCUAUCUUUGUCUUCCCCUCUCUUUCUUCCUCCUCCUCUCUCAGUUUCUCUCUGUCCUAUCCAACAACAAUGACAGCAAUAACAAUAGUAAUAGCAACAACAACGAUAAGCUGUAAGGGCAACAAAUGGGAAAAAAUGGCCUCCAGGAGCAAUGGAUUCGUAAUGCAGGCACAGAGACCCAGCGAUAACCCUGGAGGGAAAAAAAAGGAAGCAGGGGAAGCAUUACUUUGGUACAUGUAGAUCGAACUCAGGGAUUCAUGCUUGAGAAUACAAUACCUUGCCCACUGUACCACCUGGACGUUGAAAAUGCAUAUAUUAUGAAAAAGUUUUUAUCUUGGAACAAGGACUAAAAACUG